rnacentral:lncRNA from 1 species
AAUUGUUGUUCUCUACAAAAAAACUAUUCUUUAUUCCUUCAAAAAAUGUGGAGUUGAAGUUGUUCAAAAUAUAGAUAAUGACAACAAAAGCUUGGAGAGACAAAAAGGACAAUAAAUCACUUCAGGACAAAAUUCCAUUUCACUCUGUCUCCUGUAGAAGAAAGGCUGGAAAUCUUGGAACAAACCAAAGAAAUGGACAUUAAUGAUGAGUCAUUUUGAUCAAAGAGACCAAAAUAAGGGCAGACAACAAUCUCUAGACAGAAGAUAAUGGCAGCUGAAUGUUGAUGAAGAUUUCCCUGAUAUGAUUUCAGUUAAUUAAGAACACCAGUGUUUCUGAAAAUGGAACUUCCUCUGUAUCAGAGGCAGGGGGAGAUCAUUUUGACAGUUCGAAUGAUCUGAGAGUUGACUGGAGUCGUUUGGAAGUUUGAGGUCAGGAAACAACUUUGACGCAAUUAUUAAUCAUGAUGGACAUAUUCACUCCAUUAGCUACUUAAAAUCCAAUUUGGUGGGGCCUUAGUAUAGUAUCCAUUAAAAAGCAUUGUAUGACAAUUUUUUCUUCCUUUAGAAACAAACCAACUUUCUCAUCUUUGUUAAAUCUGAGAAGGAAAAAAUGUGCAUAAACGGGAAUACAUAAACCGAUUGUUCACUCUCUAACAAGGCAGUAGGUCUACUGGCCAAGCAUUCCCAUGUGGCCAUCAUCUGCCAGUGAUCUGCUUCCAUUAUAGCAGCUUUGAGGAAAGAGGCAUGCAGAGAAAGAUAUAUACCAUUUACACUGAGGAGUAGCUUGAUGGUUGAUGGGCAACACUCUCUCCGUGGUGCCAGCAAACAUGUAUUUCAGAACUAUUCAUAGUUCAAUUUUAGAGAGUGUAAUUCUCUGAUACAAAAGCCUGUUGAUUUAUGGAUAGUUAUGAGACAAACUGUUCAUCUCAUACUUCUCAGUAAAAGGUGUUAUAAGGCAUUUUUGUAAAGCUGUUGUUACUGUCCCAAAAAUAAAUCUCUAAGGACAACAUACA